AGCUGUCCGGACAUAAGGCAGCAG
rnacentral:siRNA from 1 species